ensembl:snRNA U1 U1 spliceosomal RNA
CCUCUUACCUGGCAGGGGCAAUACCAUGAUCAUGAAGGUGGUUCUCCCAGGGUGAGGUUUAUCCAUAGCACUGCAGAUGUGCUGAACCCUGCGAUUUCCCCAAAUCCAGGAAAUUCAACUGUAUAAUUUGUGACAGGGAGCUGUGUUUUUACUCUCUUCCC